GUCUGUGGGCAUGCUACCUAAACACACCCAAUCUGAUCUUGGAAGCUAAGCAGGAUCAAGCCUGGUUAGUUCUUAGAUAGAAAUUACCUAGAAAUACCAUGUGCUCUUUUUCU
rnacentral:rRNA from 14 species